UAUAGCCCUUUGCACAAUACGGCCCGCCUGGACUGAGGCCCGCGCUUCGGCUAGGAUGCUGGCGUAAUGGUCGUAAGCGGCCCGUCUUGAAACACGGACCAAGGAGUCUAACAUCUAUGCGAGUGUUUGGGUGUCAAACCCGUGCGCGUAAUGAAAGUGAACGGAGGUGGGAACCCUUGGGUGCACCAUCGACCGAUCCUGAUGUCUUCGGAUGGAUUUGAGUAAGAGCAUAGCUGUUGGGACCCGAAAGGUAAGCAAUUACUCUAUGAUCCCCCCUAUUUAUAUAAUGCUAAUGAACUUCUUAGAUGGUGAACUAUGCCUGAAUAGGGUGAAGCCAGAGGAAACUCUGGUGGAGGCUCGCAGCGGUUCUGACGUGCAAAUCGAUCGUCAAAUUUAGGUAUAGGGGCGAAAG
rnacentral:rRNA from 1 species